rnacentral:rRNA from 1 species
UACGUAGGGUGCAAGCGUUGUCCGGAAUUAUUGGGCGUAAAGAGCUCGUAGGCGGUUUGUCGCGUCUGCUGUGAAAACCCGAGGCUCAACCUCGGGCCUGCAGUGGGUACGGGCAGACUAGAGUGCGGUAGGGGAGAUUGGAAUUCCGUGGUGUAGCGGUGGAAUGCGCAGAUAUCAGGAGGAACACCAAGUGGCGAAGGCAGAUCU